rnacentral:tRNA from 1 species
GCGGGAGUAGCUCAGUUGGUAGAGCGCAACCUUGCCAAGGUUGGGGUCGCGGGUUCGAGUCCCGUCUCCCGCU